CCAUAUCUGGAUUACAUGAACCGGGGCGAGUUACCAGCUGAGGAAACGUUGGCUCGACUGAUAAUCCGGCGGUCCAAUUCCAUGACCAUACUCAACGGGGAGUUACAUCGUUACAGUGUUUCAGGAGCAAUUCAGCGAUGCGUUUCUCCUCAAGAAGGUUGUGAGAUUUUGCGAGAAAUUCAUGAAGGGGAUUGUGGUCACCACGCCGGUUCAAAGUCGUUGGUUGCCAAAGCUUUUCGCCAUAGUUUUUACUGGUUGACGGCGCAUGUUGAUGCGGAGAAUUUAGUCAAAAGAUAUGAUGGAUGUCAAAAGUUUGCCCACCGUGCGCACGUUCCGGCUCAAGAGUUGCAGAUGAUUCCAAUUACGUGGCCGUUUGCA
rnacentral:rRNA from 1 species